rnacentral:guide_RNA from 1 species
ACAAUAAAAAAGAUCGUAAAUUAGAGAGUAGAAAUAU